UCUCUGUGGUAAGGCCGGCCACUCACCAGGUCAAAGUGCAGCCAUCAAGGCUAAAAUAUAUGCAAUUCCACCCAGGCUCACUCAUUAGAAGGUGAAUUUAUUUUGAUAGUUGGGACCAUUCCCAAAUAAACAACAAAUAAAACCUCAGCCUUACAGGACAAGCUAAGUAGAUGACGCUGGAAAAUACCAUUUUUCCACAACAAACAGUCUACUAACAACCAACUGCAGUAACAAUCUUGUCUAGACGCCUGCUUCAUGUACUCAAUUAUAAUUUUUUUGAGAUGGGGAAAAUCUGAAUUAAGAUUAAAAUGUGAAAUUAGCACUCAUUUUUAAGGCACGGGAAUGGCAUUCUUGUCAUAUAAGAUAGCGUUAGUGUUUUAAUAGUCUCCUAAUUAAAUAUUUAUAUUGAAGAGGACUGGAAUAACAUGACAGAGUCACUAGGAUUUGUGUUAAAAGAGAAAAAAAGGCAAAAAGAAGGAUAGCUGGAACAAGAGGCUGAGAAUCACAGUUGUUGAAUCCAGCCCAGGAAUAUAGGCAGCUAGCUAUACUAUUCUCUCCAUUGAAAGCAUGCGUGGAACAAUUAAAAAACAGUUCCGCCGAAAUAAAACUAGUUUCUUACCAUUUGCAGUUCCUGAAACAUCUCUAGGUGGAAAGCUCUCAUCUCUUGUUAAUUCUUCCUUCAAGCUAAUGCAUAGGAGACAGCCUCCAUCUGUGUACCACGGAUACAUCACCUGCUCUUUCUGACAUAUUACAGCUGCAUCAGGAAAGUGAUGGGUGUGUCUAAAGUGUGUCCUCUGUACUCAUGUUAAAGACCCAACCUUAGUGCCUCAGAAAGUGUAUCUGUAAAAAUAUAACUAAGGUGAAAGGACCUUAUGUGGGCAGCUAUGGAGCUUUGUGUUUGGGGAUAUAGAGUUUUCUGGGAAGGUGAUUAGGUUAGAUUGAGACAGUGGGUAGACAUUAGCAUAGUUGGUGUCUUUGUGAUAAAGAGAAACACCAAGGCACAAAGACAGCAACCAUAGAGACAGCUAGAGGUGACUAUCCACUGGCCAGGCACUGAGGCUUCAAAGGGGACCAGUCCCACUGGCACCUUGAUCAUGAACUUCAGCCUUCAAAGCAGAAAGAUGGAAGUUUGUAUGUUUGAACCUUUAGCCUGUGGCCCAGGCAUACUGGUCCAGGAUGGGAUGGAGGUGGGGGCCUGCAUUCAUUAGCUGCUGGAGGGCACCCCAGGCUGCUCUCCCUUUUCCCAACAAGAACUUCACUCCUUGCUAGGAUCUCCCCUCCUGUUCUCUUUGUUUCCAGAGUACAGGAGUGAAACCAUGGCUCUGGUUGUCUUGCAUCAGCCAAAUUGCUGCCUGAACCCCGGAUUGUAACUUCUCCUUCCAGAACUUACCAUAUCUCGUUCACACACAAAUUACCCCUGGGAGAUUAUAGAAAUUUAAAAAUAAAUAAAUAAACUUCUUGAGGGAUUACAAUACAAUAGUAGCCUAUAAUUCUUCUUUCAUUGCUACUGAAAGAGAAAUGGUGCCCAAUAAGUAAAGCCUUUAUUAUAUCUUAGAAGAAAGAAAGCUCUUAUUUCUGGUUCAGAGAUUCAACAUCAUGGCAUUUAUAAUUAUAUUCUGGAGUCAACAUUGUUAAAAAUUUGGGCUUUCAUGCUAAAAAGUGAUUUUUUAAAAAAAAAAUAUAUAAUUACCUACUAAUUCUUCCCAAAUGGUAUGACUUGCCUUUUUUCUCUCUUUUUUUGAAUCAUAACUCAUCUUAAACAAUCUAUUUUUUUUUCUUUUUAGAGGAAGUCUAAAAUAACACAUGGGUGUCUCGGCCUUGGCACAGCUAAACCCUGGAACAUUGAACUGAAGUCAUAACAAUGGGUAAUAUUUUAAUAUAAUGAAAAAUUAUCAUUAACUUUUCUCGACAGGAAGGAAAUGAAUUUUCCUCAUUGUACACAUUCCGAGAAAAAUGAGGCUAAGACUAUUUCAAAGGAUGUUCUACCUAAUUCGAAUGGGCUUUAAGUGCCAUCUUCACAAUAGCGCCAGAGUCUGGUGUCAGCAAACUGAACAAAUAGAGCUACAGGGAGCGAAUGGGGCUGGGUGCCUCUCCAAAACAUAUGCAGAUGAACUUGAGAUUUCAGAGGACGGUUAAUCCUACACAGCAGUCAAGUGCCUUCCCAGGGAGCAUCCUGGCAGGCAUCCACUGUGCCAUAUGCUUUCGGGAAGUCUGGAUGCUGAAUGUGGUGGCUGUGGGGAAUUGAGCCUUAUUGCUUCAUAAGAUUCCUGGUGGUAGAACUAUUCUGAACAAGAACACGUCCGUCCCCAUAGGUGUGCUCCAAGAAUCACAGAAUAAGAAGGGACUUCGGAGAGAGCCUCACACAGUUGGGCAAUGGGAGCCCAGAGAGGCAAGGAAGGCUCCUUGCCCAAAGUCUUGUACAUCUGAAUCUGCAACUCCUGACUAUUUUUGAGUCUUAUGCUCCAGGCUAAAACUUGUGACUUUAAGUGUGAUGUUCUCGGUGAUGAUUAAUCUAGGAUGUUUCUGUUGUUUUCUUACCGUCAAAGAAUUAACAUCAAAAGGAAAGGAAGGAAGAAAUGUAGAAGUGAAGGCAAGAAGGAAGGAAGGAGGAAAGGAAGGAAGGAAAAUAUAGGCUUUGGGUAAAAAUAAGUUUCUACUCAACACUGACAAAGGUACAGGUUUUGGACAUUGGUUUCCUAAUCUGUAAAUGAGGAAUAGUCAUCACAUCGCUGUCCUGGCUGGUUUUGUGUGUCAACUUGACACAAGCUGGAGUUAUCACAGAGAAAGGAAAGAAAAUGCCUCCAUGAGAUCUAGCUGUAAAUGGAUUAGUGAUCAAGAGUGGGAGGGCCCAGUGUGGGUGGUGCCAUCCCUGGACUGGUGGUCCUGGGUUCUACAAGAAAACAAGCUGAGCAAGCCAGGGGAAGCAAGCCAGGGGAACAUCCCUCCACGGCUCUGCAUCAGCUCCUGCUUCCUGCCCUGUGUGAGUUCCAGUCCUGACUUCCUUUGGUGACGAACAGCAAUGUGAUAGUAUAAGCUGAAUAAACCCUUUCCUCCCCAAC
rnacentral:lncRNA from 1 species